CCCUAGUAUCGGCCGAGUGAAGCGGCAACAGCUCAAAUUUGAAAUCUGGCCUCGCGGCCCCGCAGCUCGUAAUUUGUAGAGGAUGCUUCUGGCGACGUGCCUUCCGAGUUCCCUGGAGCGGGGACGCCAUAGAGGGUGAGAGCCCCGUCCCGGUCGUGCACCUAGCCUCUGUGAAGCUCCUUCGACGAGUCGAGUAGUUUGGGAAUGCUGCUCUAAAUGGGGAGGUAUACGUCUUCUAAAGCUAAAUACCGGCCAGAGACCGAUAGCGCACAAGUAGAGUGAUCGAAAGAUGAAAAGCACUUUGAAAAGAGGGUUAAAUAGUACGUGAAAUUGCUGAAAGGGAAGCGCUUAUGACCAGACUUGGGCUCGGUGAAUCAUCCGGCGUUCUCGCCGGUGCACUUUGCCGUCCCAGGCCAGCAUCAGUUCGCGCCGGGGGAUAAAGGCUUCGGGAAUGUAGCUCCUUCGGGAGUGUUAUAGCCCGUUGUGUAAUACCCUGACGUGGACUGAGGUCCGCGCUCUGCAAGGAUGCUGGCGUAAUGGUCAUCAGUGACCCGUCUUGAAACACGGACUGAGGAGUCGUCUUCGUAUGCGAGUGUUCGGGUGUCAAACCCCUACGCGUAAUGAAAGUGAACGUAGGAGAGAGCUUCGGCGCAUCUCCGACCGAUCCUGAUGUUCUCGGAUGGAUUUGAGUAAGAGCAUACGGGGCCGGACCCGAAAGAAGGUGAACUAUGCCUGUAUAGGGUGAAGCCAGAGGAAACUCUGGUGGAGGCUCGCAGCGGUUCUGACGUGCAAAUCGAUCGUCAAAUAUGGUCAUGAGGCGAAAGACUAAUCUA
rnacentral:rRNA from 1 species